rnacentral:lncRNA from 1 species
UCCUCCGGUGUCUGGUUCUUCUUCUCCGGUGAGGCACUGGCAGCUAGGGUUUUUGUGGUCAGGUGUGGGUGGGGUUAUUUAUACCCUUUGCCUUUUAAUCUUGACCGUCCAUGAAGAUUAAAUCUGGAUCAUUCAAUCGCGAUUUAAUUGGGAUUAAAUCUGGGCCGUUCAUCGCGAUGCAAUCUGGGCCGUCCGUGCCUGAUUGAAUGUGGGCCGUCCGUGCGCGUGAAUCUGGGCUGUCCGUGCGCACGUUUGAUCUGGGCCACCUGUGCGUGGGAACGGAACUGGACCGUCCGAUCGCGCGCACGCGGAUCGCCGACGUGGCCCGUCCCCUGGUCAGCGUUUCCUUGCCACGCGGCACGUCCUGGUUGGCCGGAGCUGCUGACCGGGCCACCGACGUGGCUGCUGACGUGGUGCUGACGUGGCACAAUUUUUUUAAAUUGCGUUUUGACCCCCGAUUUUCGAUUUUCUUUUCAAAAACACCCCCAUAAUCCAAAUUUUCACCCCUUUUUCCCAAAAUCAAUUUCAAUUAAAU